CCCAUGCAGCGCUGAGGAGGCGGCAGUGGUGGCUUACGGGCGGCCCGGGGCCUAGUGCAAGUGGCCGGGCUGGCGCGGGCGAAGGGGGCCCCGGCGCCAUGGAGGGGAUGGACGUGGACUUGGACGCCGAGCUGAUGCAGAAGUUCAGCUGCUUGGGCACCACGGACAAGGACGUGCUCAUUGGCGAGUUCCAGCGGCUUCUUGGCUUCCAGCUUAGCCCCGCCGGCUGCGCCUUCUUCCUGGACAUGACGAACUGGAAUUUACAGGCAGCCAUUGGAGCUUACUAUGAUUUUGAGAGCCCAAACAUCAAUGUGCCCUCCAUGUCCUUUGUUGAAGAUGUGACCAUAGGAGAAGGAGAGUCCAUCCCUCCUGAUACUCAGUUUACAAAAACGUGGAGGAUACAAAACACAGGGACAGAAGCAUGGCCUCCGGGUGUUUGUCUUAAGUACGUCGGGGGAGAUCAGUUCGGCCAUGUGAAUAUGGUGAUGGUCCGAUCACUGGAGCCCCAGGAGAUUGCAGAUGUCAGCGUUCAGAUGUGCAGCCCUAGUACUGCAGGAAUGUAUCAAGGCCAGUGGCGAAUGUGCACUGCUACUGGACUCUAUUAUGGAGACAUCAUUUGGGUGAUUCUCAGUGUGGAAGUUGGAGGACUAUUAGGAGUAACGCAGCAGCUGUCAUCAUUUGAAACAGAGUUCAACACGCAACCACAUCGCAAGGUAGAAGGAAACUUUAACCCGUUCGCCUCUCCGCAGAAGAACAGGCAACCAGAUGAAAACAACUUAAAAGACCCUGGGGGUUCCGAGCUAGACACAAUCAGCAAAAACACAUGGGGGCCUGCUCCUGACCAAAUUGAACAAGAUCAGACUGAACUGUCACAAAACUCUGUAAAUCUCUCCCCCAGCAGUCACUCGAACAACUUAUCAGUAGUGACAUACAGUAAGGGUCAGCUGGGCUAAUAGCUCCAAUUCCUGCUUGCCACAAAACAUACAUGAGGUCUGCAGCUCAAGGUAGCAUCGCUGGUUGGAGACACAGAACCAACCUUCAAGCCUAGGUUUUCAUGGUCCUUACCCCUUUGGACAGUCUUAAACAAAAACGGGUAUCGUUGAGAAGAGAAUUUAACAAAGACCGGACUUGGGAGGGAGGGGGAGUUCUUGUGACUUAUAGAAGAUACAGCAUGAACGCCCCUUCUUGGCUCCAUAUCCUUGGAUAAGAAGAAAACAAACUAUAACUUUAAGACUAGUUGUUUCCAGGAGAAAAAACACCUAAACUAAAGUAUGCAUGUGUGAAUGCUGAAUUUCAGGAGUGCUGUUCAGUGCUAUGAGAGAGAAAAAUACACCAAUGUUUUGUUUAGAAGUCAUUGUCACAGUUAAUUAGGUAGCUUAAAAAGAAAUUUUUAAAAAAUUAAAACAGAAAAGCCAUCUCUUUUUGAAAGAAAAAAAUUAUUUUGCCUACAGAGUGGUUGUAGUCUGAGCAAAUGUUUAUUUUUUCGUUUCUUCUUCACAACUUUUCAAAAAGGGACAGCGUGCAUUUUUAUGGAGACAUGCUUGCUAUGGAAUGGAAGCUUGCUUAGCAUUUUCUUGGUUAGUGCAGCUGCUAUUUUUAUACAUCAGGUGUUUUUAAUUUGUAGCUGCAUCAAUACCCAGUUAUGAAUUUUAACAGCAUCCAUUGUUUGCCUUUAAUCUGCUGUUGGUAUCAUUUCUCUGGAUUGGUGUGCAUUAGUCAUCUGCUAGUUCUUUUCUGUAAGUAUAAGUUGAUCAAACCCAGUUUCCCUCUUUGUCGGUGUGUCAAGGAGGUAAAAAAUGCAAAAGGACUGAAAUUAUGCCAGAGGGUUUUCUUAGGCUUUCAACAAGAGCCCACACUCAGAUUUCCAAAACUUGCCCUGAACAAUUAGCAUAUUGAAGUAUUCCUGUAUUCAUUAACGUACAGUAACAAUCUUUGAGACAGUUAUGCAUGUGCCAAGAAUCAAUUUUAUUUCUAAAGCGGUAGAGCACCAGUUUUUAAAUUUCAUGCUACUUCUGGGUGUAAACUUCACAUUUCCCUUUUUAUAUCAGGGUAACUUCUGUUUGAUUAUUUGGCAAUAGAAAUACUAGCUUAGUUGACAGAGUCUAAAUUGCUUUGGACAUAUGGGAGGAAGAACCAUUAGCUGCCUCCUACUGUAGUUCCUUCUGUUCAUUGGCUUUCUUAUUCUCUGAACCUUUGAUGUUCUAGAUUGUGUGUGUGUGUCUGUCUGUCUGUCUGUCUGUCUGUCAAAGGUGCAAAGGCUGUCUGUGUGCAGCCCAUAAAGAAUGAUAGCCAUAUAUAACUGAGACUAGGUUGUCCUUCAUCGGAGAAAGUUGCAGAUUAUGGUCUUUUGGGUGUUGCAUCAGUUCAAGGCUUUGCAAAGGAGAGGAGGAGGGGGGUUCUGUCUAAUUCAGAAACUUGAACUAGGCCAUAGCAGCCGUCUGCCAAAGAUAGAAUAAUAUGCAACACCCCCUUCCUUUCAUCUCACUCUAAAGACCAAACUGCCUACUCUGAGAUAAUUGAGGAAAGUACAUAUGUCCUGAUGGAGGUUGUGCAGAACUUUUAGUAUGGCCCAAAGUAACAUAAAGGGCCUUUUAAACAACCUAUUACAAUUUUUUUCACAGUCCUGUCUUCCACUAGAACAUAUGGUUAGCACCUGCAGAAUUUAAGUGGAUCUUGGCUGGGAUCAUGGGGGUUGUAGGCAUUUAGGUAUUCAAUAUUCUGGAGUCAGCUCAGCAUCUUAUUUGGUGCUCUUUUGGAGAACAUGUACAAUUUCCUGAUCUAAUUUGAAUAAUCUUUCCAUUAAUGUUGCCACGAACACUUGAAGAGGUUAUUUCAAGGAGUUGUUCUUGAGAUGAAAUUAAACAGGAGUCCAUUGGCAUCUUAAUGAUGAACAAUUUAUUCCAGCAUAAUUUUUUGUAAAUCAGGGCUCACUUCAUAAGAUGCAUCUGGUAUAAACUCUGACUGGCAAAAAAUUAUGCUGGAAUGGAUCUUGUUAGUCUUUAUGAUUCCCCUGGACUCCUGUUCAGUUUUGUUGCAACAGACUAAUAUGGCUACACCUCAGGAAUUAUAAUGUUUGAGAUGAGAGAUUAUGGCAGUAAAGGAGUUGGGGAACAUUUUGCUUCUUGACAUUUCUCCUCAGCAUGGCCCUCCAAAUAUAUACAUGCAAUGUAAUGUAUUCAAAUGCAAAUAAGGGUAUAGGAAAUGAUUGUGUAUAGCAGCCUUGAUGAUUGAUUUAAUUUCCCCCCCUGCUCUGGGCAAACAAUUCCGUUGAUGGGCAAGUGAAGUGACUAAGUAGACUGUGUGGGUUUUGGUGUCAUCUCUCUCUCUCUCUGUGUGUGGGGGGUUGCAUCGGAAGUCUUACAGUGAUUACAGCUGGCAGCUACCAGACCAAGUCAGAACUGCUUCAUUUUUCUCUUUGCACCACAUAUUCACACUUGUGCCCCAUCUAAACGGCCAACUGUUUUGGAUUUAUGUAUUCUCUUUAUCUGCUUUGCAUAGGGAAAGCUGGUAUAUACUGCCAAGUACUGUUGUCUUGUGGCAUGCAGGAGUGCCCAUUCUCUGCCAGUCAUCAUGAAUAAUGUUUCCAAGUGCCAGUGACUCUUGUGAAUAGAGAAGUCACUCCAGUAAAGGAAACAAAAGCGAGAGCCAGUGCCCAGGUGGGGUUGUAGUAAGCAGCCAUCCUCUUAAGGCAGUAGUUCUUCAGCUCUUCCAGAGCAUAAGCAUUUCUGUUAUGUUUGAGGAAGAUCUUGGUAUAAAUAGUUGCAAAAGCAUCAUUUUUGUUUGUUGGUGUUGGCUAAGGAGAUAACUCUUUCAGUGAUGACAGUGGGGGAUGUUUAAAGUGCUCACUAUCCUGCCUAUGGUUUCCUUUCCCAAGGAAAUAUUCUUCCUGUGAUACAAGCAUUAUUGCAUACUGAGCCUCUUGGGUUCAAGUUGCCAUUCAUUUGAUGAUUUCAAAGUUUUGAGUUUAAAUUGCUUUAGAACUGCUUUGCUCCUGACACACUUCCUGUACAGAUCUAAUUUCAUAAAAGAUAAAACGGUGCCCAGUUAAGUUUCAAAUUGGUAUGAAUGUUUAAUUUGCCACCAUUACAUGUGGUUGAAAGCUCUGAGUGCUUUCCAGACUCUUGUAAUGGCAGCAAAACAAACAUCCCUCCUGUCUUUAAGCAUCAUAGUGUAUAUGCUUCCUGUCAAAAAUAUUAACAUCUGUAGCAGAAAUAUGAAUGACAUGGCCCUCAGUCCCCUUGACACUUAGCCCACUGCCUAGUCAUAGAGGAAGCUAAGCAUUGCUUGACUCAUGACCUGUUUCCCAAGUCAGGUUCUCGUUCAUGGUUUUAGAAGCUUAGGGGCUGGAUGUAACUCCCCACGCUUCAACCUGCCGCACAUGAGCAAGGGCAGUCAGCUCUGACUUUCUUCCCUAGUGACUAUCUCUAGAAGAAAUAAUGAUGGAUUCCUGAGGGGAAGAAGCAAUUGUUAUAAUUUUAAUAAAGGGAAGUUUUGAAUUUCUUGUUAAUAAUACUUUGUUUGCAGAGUGCGCGCGUGUGUGUGUGUGAGUGUGUGUUUUAAAUGGGAACGUAACUCUAGCCCAAGCUGUUGGGCUAAAAAAAAUGCUGAUAACUUCCGCAUCUGUGAAUGUGACUCCAGCCUGGGAUAGAAAAGCCCCCAGACUUCUCCUUGGGAAACUGGGCUGGCUUUGAGCCCCUCUGGCUGGAAUUAAACUCUAUCCCUGUUUGGGGAUGGAUGUCAAGCUUGCAUUAGCAGGCUGGGCCAUGUUGUUGCCCUAAUUUGGGGCAGGGAAAGGUGACGGGUAUAUCCUGAGGCUUCAGGGAUUUUGGAAUGUGUACUUAUCCACCCACCCCCAGCUGUGGGUGAGUGCAUCCUGAAUCUCUGUAGGUACAAGUGUAGCCAGAGUUCUCUGGGGCUGAGAAAUGCACGCUGUCCUACAUCUGGGUUUUCAUUGUUGUUGUUUUUUUCCUCUUGUGUGAGUGAGUGUUUGAUUCUGCAGCCUGUCUUUAUUCUCUCUGGGGGGAGUGCAUGUGUAGAGCAGGAUGGAGUGUUGCUUCAUUGAGUCUGGGAAGAAUCCUGUAAUAGCACAUUGUGGG